UGGGGCGUGGGGUAAGGGCAGCCCGCGAGACUUUGGAUCUCGUUGUCUAGGUUCGAAUCCUAGCGCCCCAGCCA
rnacentral:tRNA from 2 species